rnacentral:rRNA from 1 species
CCUACGUGGAGCUGCAGUGGGGAAUAUUGCGCAAUGGGCGAAAGCCUGACGCAGCGACGCCGCGUGAGGGAUGAAGGUCUUCGGAUCGUAAACCUCUGUCAGCAGGGAAGAACGGACACUGUGCUAAUCAGCAGUGAAUUGACGGUACCUGCAAAGGAAGCACCGGCUAACUCCGUGCCAGCAGCCGCGGUAAUACGGAGGGUGCGAGCGUUAAUCGGAAUUACUGGGCGUAAAGCGCUCGUAGGCGGUAUGUCAAGUCAAGGGUGAAAUCCCCGCGCUCAACGUGGGAACUGCCUUUGAAACUGGCAAACUGGAGUGUGUGAGAGGAUAGUGGAAUUCCAGGUGUAGGAGUGAAAUCCGUAGAUAUCUGGAGGAACAUCAGUGGCGAAGGCGACUAUCUGGCACAUAACUGACGCUGAUGCGCGAAAGCGUGGGGAGCAAACAGGAUUAGAUACCCCAGUAGUC